ACAGGUGUAAGUGAUAAGUGUAAUUAACUAGGUUAGGUACACAGCACGAGGACAAGUGUGCUAAAUGUCGGAAAGCACUUUUUGCACGGGAACUAAAAACAUCAAUUAAAUGAACAGAAGAUCGUCUUAUGGAAACACAGUCCAGCUCUAGAUAAAUAUCUCAGCACAGCCAGGAGGAGGAAUUUCAGUGAAGAUCAUAUCACAAGUAUAUGCACACACCAGAAGCUCUGUAAGCAAGUUUAUCAGCUCUAUCACAACAAUGAAAGCACAAAUGCCUUUUCCAACUGAGAGCCUGACAUCAGUGCAUGCCUCACCAAUACUGUUGGACAAAUCAGCUGUUCCCCGAGGACAAAUGCUACCACUCUGCCAGGAUCAAUUUCUCUCUGCCUCAUUUCAAUCUGUGGAAAAUAACUUGAUGAACCCAUCCUCUGCAUUUAUAAAUACCUCUUCAUCAGAGAUGGUCAGCUCCCCUUUCUUACCACAGAUGGGACCACAUCUCUCUUCACACUUUGCAUUCUGGGAUGCCAGUUUUGGCCUUGUGGGUCCUACUGCUCUCACACCAGUAAAUUUUGGCCAAGACUGCAGCGCUAGUCAACAGGCUACGGAAGCAAAGUUCAUCAAACCUUCAGCAGAACAAAGUCAUAGAGGUUCACCCCUGGUCUGUCAGUCUGUUAGUGAACGCCAACCAUACUUCCCUUUGUCUUUGAGUUCUGAUGAUGUGACAUCCAAUAAUGAAAAUAUGUCAGUGUCAGAUGUUCUGUAUCAUGCAAGACUCAUCCUAGAGGGAGACCUACGUUAUAGUAGUUCUUUAGUAGACAGUCCACAGGAUACAGACAUUCAGCUUAGACUUGAUCUACCAUUGGAUAGUAAUGAUGACUUGUGUUUUCCUAAUGCUAUUGUCUUUAACAUUGUUCUUCCGACUUACACUACAGCAAAAUAACAGUAUGAAUGAGAUGUUGAUGAUGCAUAAUUCUUUGAUUAUGCUGUUUUUUUUUCAGUUUUCAAUGUUUGCACAGAAAUUGGUUUAAGUUUUUUAUGUUUGUCUAUGAUGCUAAUUUAAAAUCAAUACUUUAUAUUGAGUUCAUGUGAGGUAACCAAGCAUGUCCACAUGGAGUAGUACAGACAUUAAAUUAUUAUUUUGUUGGAAAAGUCCAAGCAUCCUCAUGAUGAUUUUUAUUUUCCUGACUGAUCAUGCCCUAGACUGUUUUGGCUACUUGCCAAAAUUGGAGAAAUGUGUGCUGUUUCAGAAUUUCUGUUGGAUAGUGCAGAUCUGUCUUUUUUUCUCAUGUUUUUCAGUUAACCCCUUCAGGAUUCUGAUCAUGUUAACCUUUCCAGGACAGAACCACCACAGCAGCCACAAUUAAUGCAUUUGUCAGGCCACAAACAAUAAUAAAAGUGACACAGAUCAACAUUAUAAGUUC